rnacentral:rRNA from 1 species
CGGGUGAGUAACACGUGAGUAACCUGCCCUUCACUCUGGGGUAACGUCGGGAAACCGGUGCUAAUACUGGAUACGGCCUGAACAGGCAUCUGUAUCGGGUGGAAAGAUUUAUUGGUGGAGGAUGGACUCGCGGCCUAUCAGCUUGUUGGUGAGGUAAUGGCUUACCAAGGCGACGACGGGUAGCCGGCCUGAGAGGGCGAUCGGCCACACUGGGACUGAGACACGGCCCAG